GAUGAACGCUGGCGGCGUGCCUAAUACAUGCAAGUCGAGCGGACGGACGAGAAGCUUGCUUCUCUGAUGUUAGCGGCGGACGGGUGAGUAACACGUGGAUAGCCUACCUAUAAGACUGGGAUAACUUCGGGAAACCGGAGCUAAUACCGGAUGAUAUUUUGAACCGCAUGGUUCAAAAGUGAAAGACGGUCUUGCUGUCACUUAUAGAUGGAUCCGCGCUGCAUUAGCUAGUUGGUAAGGUAACGGCUUACCAAGGCAACGAUGCAUAGCCGACCUGAGAGGGUGAUCGGCCACACUGGAACUGAGACACGGUCCAGACUCCUACGGGAGGCAGCAGUAGGGAAUCUUCCGCAAUGGGCGAAAGCCUGACGGAGCAACGCCGCGUGAGUGAUGAAGGUCUUCGGAUCGUAAAACUCUGUUAUUAGGGAAGAACAUAUGUGUAAGUAACUGUGCACAUCUUGACGGUACCUAAUCAGAAAGCCACGGCUAACUACGUG
rnacentral:rRNA from 1 species